GAUGAACGCUGGCGGCGUGCCUAAUACAUGCAAGUCGAGCGAACGGACGAGAAGCUUGCUUCUCUGAUGUUAGCGGCGGACGGGUGAGUAACACGUGGAUAACCUACCUAUAAGACUGGGAUAACUUCGGGAAACCGGAGCUAAUACCGGAUAAUAUUUUGAACCGCAUGGUUCAAAAGUGAAAGACGGUCUUGCUGUCACUUAUAGAUGGAUCCGCGCUGCAUUAGCUAGUUGGUAAGGUAACGGCUUACCAAGGCAACGAUGCAUAGCCGACCUGAGAGAGGGAUCGGCCACACUGGAACUGAGACACGGUCCAGACUCCUACGGGAGGCAGCAGUAGGGAAUCUUCCGCAAUGGGCGAAAGCCUGACGGAGCAACGCCGCGUGAGUGAUGAAGGUCUUCGGAUCGUAAAACUCUGUUAUUAGGGAAGAACAUAUGUGUAAGUAACUGUGCACAUCUUGACGGUACCUAAUCAGAAAGCCACGGCUAACUACGUG
rnacentral:rRNA from 1 species